GCCCUUUUGCAUACCAAACUGUUGUACCACCUCACUAAAUCUUCCAAACCAAGCUCAGGGACGUUGCUUCAAACCAUAAAGAGAUUUGCGCAGCAUGCAAACUUGGCCUGACUCCCCCUAAGCAACAAACCCAGGUGGUUACUCCAUAUACAACUCUUCUUGAAGAUUACUAUGAAGAAAAGCAUUUACUUCAUAUACAUCUCUUUUUGAAGAUUACUAUGAAGAAAAACAUUCUUGAUAUCCAACUAGUGCAAGGGCCAAUUAUAUAUAGUUGCUAAAGAAAUGAACAAGUGAAUAGAAGCAAGUUUAGCUACAGGUGAAA
rnacentral:misc_RNA from 1 species